GCAACGGCAGUAUAGCCGCAACAGCCGAAGCGACAACACGUAAGUCCUUGCCGAAGAAAAAAGAAGGAGCUGCAGAGGAGAGAGAGAGACAUUGCGGUAAGCAUCAGUACGCAGUUACUGCUGCGCCAUAAUUAUCUGUGUAGUUCAUCAAGAUUUUGAUUUAAAAUUAUUUGUACUUGACAGAUGUCAAAGUUCAACCUUCAACUACGAUAUCAACGUGGUGCUGAAAAAUUCGCAUACAGGCUCUUAAUUCGUCAUUACGGUGCCUCUUUCAUCGCAGUACUUAUUCAACUUCCAACCACGGAGGACAAGACUUACAUAGCAUCGCACAAUUCGUUUACAGGUACUCAGUGAUGCUGCCACCGCAGUUAUGACCCCCUGGACUCCCCCUGUUCAUCAGGGGGAGUCCAGGGACCCGUCCCCUGGGACUGCGCGGCCUCCCACCGCCCCCGG
rnacentral:misc_RNA from 1 species